GCAUACAUUUACAAAAGUGCAAGACAACAACGAAUUGGUUUGGAAGAACCACAGAUUUUCUCUCAUUCGGGAGUAUUAUGAUAGAUAAAAAAAAAGUGUUUAUGUGUAUCUUUCCUAAAUGUGCAAAAGGAAAAGAGAACAAGUUCAGUGAGUACUUUUUGUACAAUUUAAAUGAAUUACAUAUGAGGUUACAUGUAAUGUUAUUUAGCAAUUGAGACUAAACGUCACUAUCAGCACUAUAAUGUUGUGUUGGCAAUUUCUUUUUGACGGUGGCAGCCAGAGCCCAGAUAAAAUUGCUAACCUUGUAUAGAAAAAACAAUCAUACACAACCACCAUGUCUUUUGCGGAAUUCAUAUUCACAUCAUCGGUGUUGUCAGGCAAGUGUUAAUGUUGUACGAAAAAGUAGAUAAUUCCGCCAACAGUCUUCAAAACGAACAACAAAAAUAACCAUCAUCUUCGCUAGCCAAGGGUUACGAUCCACUCCCGCUCCCUUCACCCUUGGCGGAUUGAGCCAACAUUUGUGAUAACAAUGGUGCGCCAUCUAUCGGAAGAUAAAAAUCACGCCAAUUCCGAAUACAUUAUUCUUGGACCAAUGGUAGCACUUGAACUCUCAAUUUGGAGGUAAAACACGGUAGCGUCUAGAUUCUACCACUUGGUAAAGCCGGAAAAAAACAUACGUCAACAUUCAUGCAUUUGUGCUUGAAACAUAAACAGGAACUUCUAUUUGUUGAUUAAAAACAUUGAAGUUUGCACUAAAUAUAGUCGUAUGUUUAGGAAUGUAAAGACUUGUUGCACAAAAACACGUGAAUUGUUUACAAACACUUUCUACAUUUACACGUGAUCAUGUUAUAUGCGCAUUUUGAUUGGAUGCAGCGAGUUUUGACUGCAACCAAUAAAAAUCCUUACAUUGUGUCUCCGAAAUUUUAUCUCAAUCCGCCAAGGGUGAAGAGAGCGGGAGUGGAUCGUAACCCUUGGCUAGCGAAGAUGAUAACCAUAGGCAUAACACAUAAAGGUCUUUAUACAUAACGGUUUUUACACAAGAGAUAGUUGUCAAAGCAAAACAUAUCACACUCUAAGUCGUUCUACGCUCAGUUUUGAUAAAUACAAAGUGUUUGGAAUGAAAAAUUUAGAAUAUAUCAAAGGUCUACCAUCUAAAGUAAGUUCUCUAAGACAGAAAAGAGUAAGAUGUGCUUUCGACAGGUCAGUAGUAUAUUAUUUAGUUUCACUUGUUUGUUGACCUCUUAAACAUCACCGUAUACAUACAAAUAGCAUGUGUCUAUAAAACAAACAAUAAAACCAUUUUCAAAAACGGUUUGUAGCCCUCAAAAGAUGAAAUAAAUGACAGACAUGCAAAACAAACAACUGAUUUUUUUGUUAGCUUUAACUUUUGUUAAAGUAAGUUCUAUUUUAUCUAUAUAAGGUAGUGAGGAGAAUUGUCCAGGCAGGUUUAGCUAGCUAUGAGAGAAAUCAUUAAACCAGAUUUAACCCAUCUUUUUCUUCAAGAGUGUAUAAGAGAAAAACACCGGAACAACAUAAAACAUGUUACCAGUCUUCCAUUACAUGAUGCAUUAACACUUGAUAGAACUAAACAACGUAUUUUGUUUUACAACUACCGCCAUCACUUGUUGUGCAGGCGCUGGUCAACAUGACACAUUGGUUAACCCGGUUCUGAAUGACUCAUACUUUGGUUUGUGUUGCUUUGUCUUUGACUUUCUUGGUGAUGUUUUUAAUUCAAGUGGCAGGAUUAUCGAAACUGUCCUAAUACAUAAUUGGACAUAAACUAUAAUAAUCGUAAUAUUGCCGUACAUCACGUCUAAGAAUGCACAUUGGAGGUAUCUAAUGACGUUAGUAGGAAGAAUCCCCUUGCUACAUACUAUAAUAUAUAUAUAGCUUGAUAAACAGUAACAAAUUAUUUAAAGGAUGCCAGGAAAUGUCUUGAACUUGAAUUUAGCGUUUUAGCUCCGAACUGUACUUAAGGAAUCGCAUUGCCAUUUAGAUUUAAAACACCAAUGAAAAUACAAUUGAAAAUGAAAAUUGGGAAUGUUUCAGAGAGACAAUAACCCGACCAAAUAGCCGAAAACUGCCAAAAGAGUUGGGAUUCAGAUGGACUCUAAACAAAAAUAUGUAUAAGUUCAAUAAAUAAAUACUGUUUUUUUUUUGUUUUAUUAUUUUUAAUUUCAAAUGUCUGGUAGCAACAUACCAAUUCUUUUCCAUAAAUAUUAGGAAAAACAUAAUUAUAUACAAACCAAAAAAUGCAAUUAAACUACAUUUUCUAUAUAAUUUUAGCACCAUUAAAGUAAUACUAUAAUGAAUUGGACGAUUAUGAUGAUGAGGACACAUGUUAACUUAAUAGAAUCAUGGGACAUUGUAAUUUUUAUGAUCCAAACGAAACCUAUUGUUUUGUUUUAUAUAGGAAUUGAGGUCACAGUAUUAUUCAUUACUGCGAUCAAUAGCAAAACUCGUCCGUCUUUUGUAUAAAUCGAAAUAGUUCGACUGUUUGUAUAACCGUAAUAUGCAAUUGCUUAAAGUCAUAAGAAACGAGUGACCGGUAAAAAAUAAUGUUAUUACAAUUCUUGAACCAAUACAUACAAACAUCAUGCACGAUUUUAUCAUCUUUUUCGCAUAAAUUUCGUAUAAUCGUCAUUUUUUUCCCAAUCGGUCAGUGUUGUUGUGUAAAUAUGGCAGGUAAUUAAAGUUCGUGUUUUGAAGCCGAAGUUUAACGAUUGUCACCUGUUUGUCAACAAUAAACAAAAAAGUAUGGAUAUUGUGCACGUGUUUAACAUGUGCAAACAGAUUAUAGUUUAUUUUGUGGACAUACAUGCGUAUUGCGAUCAUCGGAUUUUUACGAUAUGGGUCACACUGAGGUCACUUUGCAUACGGAAAAUAUGUAGGGGAAUUGCUUCCUGCAAGCAAUGAAAAUAAAGUCAACUUCAUCUAAAUAUGAACAAAUUAGGUAAUUUUCUUCAGAAAAAGUAUAUGUACGUAAGUUUUAUAAUGAAAGAACUGUGUUUUAUAUGUUAGGGAAAGAGUAUAAAGAAUAAAGAGCUAGAGAGUCAUAGCAUGCAUUACUCAUCAAAAUAUAAUAAAAAAUUCAGAAAUAAGUCAUACAGCAGCAAGUAAAACACUACCUAUCAUAGAAAGAAAUGCAGUAUGUAGUCAUUUCAAUUCUUCAGUUCGGCUACGACGAAUCCACGCGAAAAACAUUGAAGCGGAAAAAGACGGGU
rnacentral:lncRNA from 1 species